CCUGGGUGAAUUUCUUCCCCUUAUGGACUGGAAACUGAUGUCAGAGAAGCAAGCAGAAUGUCCAGAAGUGUUGGCAGAAUUGCACGUGUCCUUAACUGAGCCUAGUUUCCAUGCAUGAGAUCUAAUGGGAUUAUUUGAGUCUCAAAAUAAUGUGGAUAACCUUCCCUGCGGGGCAAGACAGCAUGCAAGAGACAGUGCAUUUCAGCACAUCGGCCCAUGCAAAGUCCUUACCUGCCCACAAACAGCUCAUUAAGCCAACUGUCUGCCUACUGCCUGCUGACCAUGCUCAGGUCUUGAAGCAGCAAGCUACACACAUACAGUCCAGCAGUAGCUGGCCUGUGUUGAAGUGAGAAGUUGAUGUACUAAUUUAGAUGUUACACCAGUGAAGUUGAGGGAUCUCUAAUCAAAUUAGUUGAUGAAAUCAACACUUGAGGAAAGCUUUGUGUUGAGGGAGGGGUGGAUGGGGCGUGGAAAAAUUAUGCUACAUUGUCUAUUGAAUUGUUACUUCAACAAAUGAUACAGUUAUUCUGAUAUGCCAUAGAGACCAGGGAACAUUCCAUGAAUUGUGUGGUUAAACUGUGUCAAAGCUCUAAAUCACAUAUAUGGUAAUGUGGAAGCUAGAAUAAAUGUUAGAGGCAACAAGCA
rnacentral:lncRNA from 1 species